UACGUAGGGUGCAAGCGUUGUCCGGAAUUAUUGGGCGUAAAGAGCUCGUAGGCGGUUUGUCGCGUCUGCUGUGAAAACCCGAGGCUCAACCUCGGGCCUGCAGUGGGUACGGGCAGACUAGAGUGAUGUAGGGGAGACUGGAAUUCCUGGUGUAGCGGUGAAAUGCGCAGAUAUCAGGAGGAACACCGAUGGCGAAGGCAGGUCUCUGGGCCACUACUGACGCUGAGAAGCGAAAGCAUGGGGAGCGAACAGG
rnacentral:rRNA from 1 species